GACGACGCUGGCGGCGUGCUUAACACAUGCAAGUCGAACGAGUGGCGAACGGGUGAGUAAUGUCUGGGAAACUGCCCGAUGGAGGGGGAUAACUACUGGAAACGGUAGCUAAUACCGCCUACCAUCGGAUGUGCCCAGAUGGGAUUAGCUAGUAGGUGGGGUAACGGCUCACCUAGGCGACGAUCCCUCGCUGGUCUGAGAGGAUGACCAGCCACACUGGAACUGAGACACGGUCCAGACGCCUACGGGAGGCAGCAGUGGGGAAUAGUGCACAAUGGGCGCAAGCCUGAUGCAGCCAUGCCGCGGGGAUGAAGAAGGCCUUCGGGUUGUAAAGUACUUUCAGCGAGGAGGCGUUACUCGCAGAAGAAGCACCGGCUAACUCCGUGCCAGCAGCCGCGGUAAUAC
rnacentral:rRNA from 1 species